rnacentral:lncRNA from 1 species
UACCAUUUAUAGGGGGGUGCGCGGAUUAGGUAGAUUAAAUAGAUUUAGUAGGUUUUUAGUGAAUCUAUUUUUAUUAAUGCGUGGAUAUUUUGUUUUAAUAUUUUUUAAUAAUUUACUUUUUUCGUAAGAUAUAUUCAUUAAUUAUUUUAUCCUGUAGUAAUUGCAGAGUUACAAAUUCUUGUAUAAUAAUUUAUCCUAUCUGUACUAUAAUAUAUAUCUAAUUCUAGAUUUUCAAUGUUAUUUAUUAUCUUGUGUUGUUCUUCUCGUAGUGAGUUUUUUAAAUUAUAUAAACUAUCACAUGUAUUUUUAUCUAAAUUUUCUAAGGUUUUUUCUAUCCAUGCUAAUUUUUCUUUUAGGUCUUUUAUUAUUUUUCUAAUUCGGUUUCUAUAACUAAUUUCAUUAUUUAGAUUUUCUUGAUUUUCUCUAGUUUGUCUAAUAUAUUCUA